rnacentral:rRNA from 1 species
AGCCGAUGGCGGAGGCCUAACACAUGCAAGUCGAGCGCGCCCUUCGGGGUGAGCGGCGGACGGGUUAGUAACGCGUGGGAACGUGCCCUUUGGUACGGAAUAGCCUCUGGAAACGGAGAGUAAUACCGUAUGAGCCCUUCGGGGGAAAGAUUUAUCGCCAAAGGAUCGGCCCGCGUUAGAUUAGGUAGUUGGUGGGGUAAUGGCCUACCAAGCCUACGAUCUAUAGCUGGUUUUAGAGGAUGAUCAGCAACACUGGGACUGAGACACGGCCCAGACUCCUACGGGAGGCAGCAGUGGGGAAUCUUGGACAAUGGGGGCAACCCUGAUCCAGCCAUGCCGCGUGAGUGAUGAAGGCCUUAGGGUCGUAAAGCUCUUUCGCCUGUGAAGAUAAUGACGGUAGCAGGUAAAGAAACCCCGGCUAACUCCGUGCCAGCAGCCGCGGUAAUACGGAGGGGGUUAGCGUUGUUCGGAAUUACUGGGCGUAAAGCGCACGUAGGCGGACCAAAAAGUUGGGGGUGAAAUCCCGGGGCUCAACCCCGGAACUGCCUCCAAAACUGUUGGUCUAGAGUUCGAGAGAGGUGAGUAGAAUUCCGAGUGUAGAGGUGAGAUUCGUACAUAUUCGGACGAACACUAGUGGCGAAUGCGCAUCACUGGCUCGAUACUGACUCUGAGGUGCGAAAGUGUCGAGAGAGGACAGGAUUAUAUACAAUGGUAGUCCUCACAUUAGACGAUGAUGCAAGACCUCAGUAGCAUACUAUUCUCUGACGCGCCUUACUGAUUAUGCAUUCCAUCAUGUGCAGUACAGUCACAGAUUAAAAUUCCCUGGUAUUCCAGAAGUACUAAAUCAUGCCAGCUCGUCGC